UACGUAGGGGGCAAGCGUUGUCCGGAUUCAUUGGGCGUAAAGAGCUCGUAGGCGGUUCGGCAAGUCGGGUGUGAAAACUCCAGGCUCAACCUGGAGACGCCACCCGAUACUGCUGUGACUUGAGUCCGGUAGGGGACCACGGAAUUCCUGGUGUAGCGGUGAAAUGCGUAGAGAUCAGGAGGAACACCCAUGGCGAAGGCAGCGCUCUGGUCGGCAUCUGACGCUGAGAGGCGAAAGCGUGGGGAGCGAACGGG
rnacentral:rRNA from 1 species